rnacentral:rRNA from 1 species
UCCUACGGGAGGCAGCAGUGGGGAAUAUUGGGCAAUGGAGGAAACUCUGACCCAGCGACGCCGCGUGCGGGAUGAAGGCCUUCGGGUUGUAAACCGCUUUCAGCAGGGAAGAAGCGAAAGUGACGGUACCUGCAGAAGAAGCACCGGCUAACUAUGUGCCAGCAGCCGCGGUAAUACAUAGGGUGCAAGCGUUGUCCGGAAUUAUUGGGCGUAAAGAGCUCGUAGGUGGUUCGUCACGUCGGAUGUGAAACUCUGGGGCUUAACCCCAGACCUGCAUUCGAUACGGGCGAGCUUGAGUAUGGUAGGGGAGUCUGGAAUUCCUGGUGUAGCGGUGGAAUGCGCAGAUAUCAGGAGGAACACCAAUGGCGAAGGCAGGACUCUGGGCCAUUACUGACACUGAGGAGCGAAAGCGUGGGGAGCGAACAGG